AAUAUUUAGCUCAGUCCGUAAAGCAUGAGACUCUUAAUCUCAGGGUCAAGGGUUCAAGUUCCACAUUGGAUG